rnacentral:rRNA from 1 species
UAAGCGGAGGAAAAGAAACUAACAAGGAUUCCCCUAGUAACGGCGAGUGAAGCGGGAAGAGCUCAAAUUUGUAAUCUGGCCCUUUCAGGGUCCGAGUUGUAAUCUCGAGAAGUGUUUUCCGCGUCGGACUGCAUACAAGUCUAUUGGAAUAUAGCGUCAUAGUGGUGAGAGCCCCGUAACUGAUGCAGAUGCCCGAUGCUUUGUGAUACACUUUCGAAGAGUCGAGUUGUUUGGGAAUGCAGCUCAAAUUGGGUGGUAAAUUCCAUCUAAAGCUAAAUAUUGGCGAGAGACCGAUAGCGAACAAGUACCGUGAGGAAAGAUGAAAAGCACUUUGGAAAGAGAGUUAACAGUACGUGAAAUUGUUGGAAGGGAAACGCUUGAAAUCAGACUUGCUAUUCGGAAUUCAGCCGCAAGGUGUACUUUUCGAUUUGCAGGCCAGCAUCAGUUUUUGGGGGUGGAAAAGGGUGGAGAGAAGGUAGCAACCCCGGUUGUGUUAUAGCUCUUCACUGGAUUCAUCUUUGGGGACUGAGGAUCGCAGUGCGCAUUUAUUUGCAAACCUCUCGAGGUUUUCGUACUUAGGAUGCUGGUGGAAUGGUUUUAAACGACCCGUCUUGAAACACG